rnacentral:rRNA from 1 species
AGAGUUUGAUCCUGGCUCAGGAUGAACGCUAGCGACAGGCUUAACACAUGCAAGUCGAGGGGCAGCACGAUGUAGCAAUACAUUGGUGGCGACCGGCGCACGGGUGAGUAACGCGUAUGCAACCUACCUAUCAGAGGGGAAUAACCCGGCGAAAGUCGGACUAAUACCGCAUAAAACAGGGGUUCCACAUGGAAAUAUUUGUUAAAGAAUUAUCGCUGAUAGAUGGGCAUGCGUUCCAUUAGAUAGUUGGUGAGGUAACGGCUCACCAAGUCCACGAUGGAUAGGGGUUCUGAGAGGAAGGUCCCCCACACUGGUACUGAGACACGGACCAGACUCCUACGGGAGGCAGCAGUGAGGAAUAUUGGUCAAUGGGCGAGAGCCUGAACCAGCCAAGUCGCGUGAAGGAUGAAGGAUCUAUGGUUUGUAAACUUCUUUUAUACGGGAAUAAAGUGAGUCACGUGUGACUUUUUGUAUGUACCGUAUGAAUAAGCAUCGGCUAACUCCGUGCCAGCAGCCGCGGUAAUACGGAGGAUGCGAGCGUUAUCCGGAUUUAUUGGGUUUAAAGGGUGCGUAGGUGGUUAAUUAAGUCAGCGGUGAAAGUUUGUGGCUCAACCAUAAAAUUGCCGUUGAAACUGGUUGACUUGAGUAUAUUUGAGGUAGGCGGAAUGCGUGGUGUAGCGGUGAAAUGCAUAGAUAUCACGCAGAACUCCGAUUGCGAAGGCAGCUUACUAAACUAUAACUGACACUGAAGCACGAAAGCGUGGGGAUCAAACAGGAUUAGAUACCCUGGUAGUCCACGCA